UGGGGGAUAUUGCACAAUGGGCGAAAGCCUGAUGCAGCGACGCCGCGUGGGGGAUGAAGGCCUUCGGGUUGUAAACUUCUUUUGCUCUGAACAAGGCAUGCUAAUGGGUGUGUUGAGUGUAGGGGUUGAUUAGCGCCGGCUAACUACGUGCCAGCAGCCGCGGUAAUACGUAGGGCGCGAGCGUUGUCCGGAAUUAUUGGGCGUAAAGGGCUUGUAGGUGGCUGGUUGCGUCUGUCGUGAAAGCUCAUGGCUUAACUGUGGGUUUGCGGUGGGUACGGGCUGGCUUGAGUGCAGUAGGGGAGGCUGGAAUUCCUGGUGUAGCGGUGGAAUGCGCAGAUAUCAGGAGGAAUACCGGUGGCGAAGGCGGGUCUCUGGGCUGUCACUGACACUGAGGAGCGAAAGCAUGGGGAGCGAACAGG
rnacentral:rRNA from 1 species